rnacentral:rRNA from 3 species
GAAUCUAUUGUAUUCAUUUUUCUAUAAUUAUUUUGAAAAAGAUUUUUAUAGAAAAGAAUUGUCAAUGAUGAAUUUUUGCAUAAAGAAUUCAACUUGAUAAAAUAGAGUUAUUGAAG